GACGAACGCUGGCGGCGUGCUUAACACAUGCAAGUCGAACGGAAAGGCCCUGCUUUUGUGGGGUGCUCGAGUGGCGAACGGGUGAGUAACACGUGAGUAACCUGCCCUUGACUUUGGGAUAACUUCAGGAAACUGGGGCUAAUACCGGAUAGGAGCUCCUGCUGCAUGGUGGGGGUUGGAAAGUUUCGGCGGUUGGGGAUGGACUCGCGGCUUAUCAGCUUGUUGGUGGGGUAGUGGCUUACCAAGGCUUUGACGGGUAGCCGGCCUGAGAGGGUGACCGGCCACAUUGGGACUGAGAUACGGCCCAGACUCCUACGGGAGGCAGCAGUGGGGAAGAUUGCACAAUGGGCGGAAGCCUGAUGCAGCAACGCCGCGUGGGGGAUGACGGCCUUCGGGUUGUAAACCGCUUUCGCCUGUGACGAAGCGUGAGUGACGGUAAUGGGUAAAGAAGCACCGGCUAACUACGUG
rnacentral:rRNA from 1 species